AACGUAGGAGACAAACAUUAUCCGGAGUUACUGGGCGUAAAGGGCGUGCAGGUGGUCUGUUAAGUCUGGCGUGAAAGCUCUCGGCUAAACCGGGAGAGGUCGUUGGAUACUGGCGGACUAGAGGACGGUAGAGGUGUGUGGAAUUCCGGGUGUAGUGGUGAAAUGCGUAGAGAUCCGGAGGAACACCAGUGGCGAAGGCGACACACUGGGCCGUACCUGACACUAAGACGCGACAGCAUGGGGAGCGAACGGG
rnacentral:rRNA from 1 species